AGUUUUCAAAACAAGACCUUGGUCCCACCCGAAAUUCCCAGAGUUGGGAAUUUUCCUUCUGACCUUUUCCUUCUGUUUCAUCCUUAAAGAGAAGAGAACCCAAGGAUUCAUCUGCUCUCAGGCAAAGGCUUCCAACUUCCCAAACUCCCUGGGAGAAAGAAUAAAAAGUAAGAUUUAUGACAUUUCACAUCAACUGGCUGAUGGCUUCCCUUAAGCCCCCGAUGUGGUUUUCGCCCAAGAGCCUGAUGAAACUCACAGAUAACCCACAUUAUCAAUGCCUAUCUCUUUAAGAGACGAAAUGAUUGGCUAUCUACCUUUUCCAAGAUGCCAAAGGACUGCAUCAUUUCACUUGAGAGGGACUAAGUGUAGAGUGCAAAGCACUGGGACAGGGUUGAUAAGUCACAGAGGAAGACCUGUCCGAGUUGCAUCGCUUUCCGUACACGGCCUGGCCUUUUCUGUGGGCGUCUCCCUUCGUUUGCAAGGUCUCCUCCCUCGUUCAACAAGGCUGGGGCUAGUCUUCCUUCGACACUGAGAUCUUAGGUCACCUAUCCUGGGAAGACGUCCCCGAACUUCCAGCUUGCCACUUCCUGCCUCCUUUGGCUUCUUCUUUUUAAUAUUCGUUUAUUUGGCUGCUCUGGGGUUUAGCUCCAGCACCCAGGAUCUUGCAUUGCUGCUCACAGAACUCAGCUGUGUCACGUGGGAUCCAGUUCCCUAACCCGGAGUCGAACCUGGGCCCACCCGCGUUGGGAAGGCAGAGUCUGGACCACCAGGGAAGUCCCACUGCCAUUGCUUCUUACCACCGGGUUUUCAUGACCCCUAGUGGUGAAUAGGGGGAAGGACCGCUUUAAAGUUGAAGCCUACAGGUUGUGAACUUUCAAAGAUGUGGC
ensembl:lncRNA